UAGGGAAUCUUCCACAAUGGACGCAAGUCUGAUGGAGCAACGCCGCGUGAGUGAAGAAGGUUUUCGGAUCGUAAAGCUCUGUUGUUGGUGAAGAAGGAUAGAGGUAGUAACUGGCCUUUAUUUGACGGUAAUCAACCAGAAAGUCACGGCUAACUACGUGCCAGCAGCCGCGGUAAUACGUAGGUGGCAAGCGUUGUCCGGAUUUAUUGGGCGUAAAGCGAGCGCAGGCGGAAGAAUAAGUCUGAUGUGAAAGCCCUCGGCUUAACCGGGGAACUGCAUCGGAAACUGUUUUUCUUGAGUGCAGAAGAGGAGAGUGGAAUUCCAUGUGUAGCGGUGGAAUGCGUAGAUAUAUGGAAGAACACCAGUGGCGAAGGCGACUCUCUGGUCUGCAACUGACGCUGAGGCGCGAAAGCAUGGGUAGCGAACAGG
rnacentral:rRNA from 1 species